rnacentral:tRNA from 1 species
GCGCCCUUAGCUCAGUUGGAUAGAGCAACGACCUUCUAAGUCGUGGGCCGCAGGUUCGAAUCCUCCAGGGCGCGCCA